rnacentral:lncRNA from 1 species
UUUUUUUUUUUAAAAAAAUAAGUUAACUAUUUUGAUUGCUAUUUAUUCCUCAAAGAUUAAAAAUGAGCUUAUUUAAGUUUAGUGCAUUUUUUUUUUGUUGGUGCAUAGUUUAGUGCAAUUUUACUUGGAAUAGUUCGUGCAAUUUGUUCUAUAGAUAACAAUAAGAGCAUCACCACAUCAAGUCAUCAUCCAAUUAGGGUCUUGAUUAUUGGUCAUGGGAAUUGGAGAUCCUUUUGUUGCUUUGUUCAUUUGCCUUUUAGGAAUUUCAGUGGUGUGUCUCUUUAUUUCAUUGUAGUUUUUUUUCUUGUCUUAUUUUUGAGAUUGUUGAUUCUGGUGGAGUGUAGGUACCUCAUUGUUUACUAAAUUUUCUCUUAUAUUUUUCUCGUUUUUAUAUUUAUAUAUAUAUUAUAGGCAAAAUAGCACCAGGUGUCCUUUAUCUUAUUUUUUGUGCUAGAUACAGUUUUUCAUGUUCCUCUCACAAAAAGGUAGUUAUUUAUAUUUUUUAAUUAAAAAAAGAAAAAAAUUUGUUUUUAAAUAAAAAUAACUUCCCCCAUGUAUCUAGCACAGUAAGAACUGUGUAUAUGGAACUGCACAUAAGUUUGGUCCUUUAUUUAAAAUGACAGAGUACAGUACAUUGGAACGGAUUUUCUUGGUGGCUGAAAGGUGCCUCGCUUUCCAUUUCUUGAAUAUAGGUGUAUCCAUUUAGUAGGAACACUAUUAUGUAUAUGUUGAGAAUAUGUCGAAAAAUCACAUCAUACUUAUUGUGUGGAGCAAUAGAAUGACAACCAAUAAUAAGUGGAAUAAACAAUAUUAAUAACAACAGAUAAAAACGAUAAAGGAGAAGAAACAACACGAU